rnacentral:lncRNA from 1 species
CGGAGCCGGCCCUUCCCGCAGGCUCUCGUCCCGGCUUAUCCGGGUCAUCGGUGGCCCGGGGCCCGCCGGCGCGGAGCGUCCCUGGAAAGCUCCGAGGCACGUGGCGAAGGAGUGUUGUGAAGCGCUUAGGUGCUGGGUGCGGAGGUGGGAGAAAGGGCCGACGACGCUCCACACCCCGCUGCAGGCUCGGCCGCUCCCAGCCGGCGGGGAAAUCCCCGUCUAGGUCCUGUGUGCCUCUUUUUGGACCUGAGGUAAAUGGAAUCAUAAUGCGUAUGUACUCUUCUGGAUCCUUUUUCCUCACUCAGUGUUAUGUUUAUGACAUUCAUCUGUGUUGUUAUGAGUGGCAGUAAUUUGGUUUCAUCAUAUUUCGAUGACAGGUUUAAUCCUUAUGAAAACGUAAAGUAAAAUACAGGUACUAAUUUCUAAAUUGCAUUGUUCUGGGUGGUACCAUGAAGUAAGUAAAUAUGUAGCACAGUUUUAUCUGUUCUACCAGUGAAUUGGAAAAGAAGG